GAUGAACGCUGGCGGCGUGCUUAACACAUGCAAGUCGAACGAAGCACUUAAGAUUGAUUCUUCGGAUGACGUCUUUUGUGACUUAGUGGCGGACGGGUGAGUAACGCGUGGGUAACCUGCCUCACACAGGGGGAUAACAGUUAGAAAUGACUGCUAAUACCGCAUAACCCGAUAGGAUCGCAUGAUCCAGACGGAAAAGAUUUAUCGGUGUGAGAUGGACCCGCGUCUGAUUAGCUAGUUGGUGAGGUAACGGCCCACGAAGGCGACGAUCAGUAGCCGGCCUGAGAGGGUGAACGGCCACAUUGGGACUGAGACACGGCCCAAACUCCUACGGGAGGCAGCAGUGGGGAAUAUUGCACAAUGGGGGAAACCCUGAUGCAGCGACGCCGCGUGAGUGAAGAAGGAUUUCGGUAUGUAAAGCUCUAUCAGCAGGGAAGAAAAUGACGGUACCUGAAUAAGAAGCCCCGGCUAACUACGUG
rnacentral:rRNA from 1 species